CCUGGGCUCAAGUGAUCACCUGUCUCGGCCUCUGAAAGUGUUGCAAUUAGAGGCAAGAGCCACCACACCUGGCCCCACAAAGCUAUUUUUCUGACUAGAUUUAAACCCUUUAGAGUAAGGACCAAAUCAGACCAAAUAUUUUUUGCUACAAGCCAUCAUCAUUGCUUGAGACACUGAAACUGUUUUUAAAAGAGGCGAAUACUCCAGAAACAAGGAAUUGAGAAAGGAUCAGCAAAAUGUCUGCAUUUCAGAGAAACCUCCAGGAGUCUGCUAUCAUGGUGGGAAACCCAAGCUCUACUACCACAAUGGACGGGGCAGAAUAUAGUCCAUCCGGUGGUGCCUAGCUGCAGCUGGAGUACAGGUCUUUAGAUCAUAACUCUUUCAAUCAACUGCCAAUUGGAAAAUUUUUAAAUCUACACAAAACCUGGAAGCCCACACUUCCGUCGUCCUGCCUUUCUGGACUGAACCAACGUACAUCUCUAUAAUUGAAUGAUGUCUCAUGUCUCCCUAAAAUUAAGCUAUAUCCCAAUCACCUUGAGUACACGUUCCCAGAAUCUCCUGAGGACUGUAUCACGGGCCAUUGGUCACUCAUAUUUGGCUCAGAAUAAAUCUCUUCAAAUAUUUUACAGCGUUUCACUCUUUUCCCUAACAUUGAUAAUCAUUGAUUCUAUGUGAGGAGUAUAAGAAAGGUCAUUAUACUUUUGUGUUAUUUUUAUACAUGUUAGAAAUUUAUACAAUAAGAGGAUAAAAAGGCAUAAAAUUAGAAAGUGAAUGUAAAGUGAAACUGCAUACUCACCUGAUAAAGACUCAGAAUAUUAAUUCAAUGAUUACGUUGUUGUGCACCUACUAAGUGCCAGAUUCUGUGUGAGGUUCUGGAGGUAGAGAGUGAACAAGACAAACUCAGUCUCUGCCCUCGGGUAGCCUAUAUAUCUAUAAGAAUGGAGACAAGUAAACAGGUGAUUAAAAUCAGGAGCUUCCAGGAGAACACCCAAGCAUUCCUCAGUGUUACCAGAUCAUCCAGCCAGCUUCUGAGGAGGAAAUGCAGGGAGGUGUCUCUGGGAUUCCGUUGAGUGCUGCCCUCUAGAGGUGUCACUGAGAAAAACACUUCCCAGUCCGGACCAGAGUCCCUCAGUAACUGCCUGAGGGUUUUCCGGAGUGAGUCUUGGACAAACUCAGGAGAUCUUGUCCCCUGGAUGGUAGCAGAAAAAGAGGGUUUCAGGUGAGGUGGUGUCCUGUGAGGGGAACUUCCAGUGACCCCCUUCAGCCUUACAGCGCCGUGUGGACCUGAACCUCGGGACGGCACUUUCUCCAUUGCUUCACGAAGGCUUGGGACUUUAGCCUCACCCUUUCUCAAUCCUACGAAUAAACAAGCACACAAAAAAUCCA